GUCUGCACCCAGGCCGCCAGUCCCCCGUGCUCAGAGGCAGCCAGCCAGCCAACCAGACAGACAGGCUGGCAGGCAGCACCACAGAAGCGGAGCUUGGGAGUAGAGCCUGCUGGUACUGGGCAGCAGAUCGUGACUCCAAUGCCUCCUCAUCUCCCGAACAGAGACAGAUCAGCCUCCGCCUCCAGCCCAGGGACCUGCGGCAGUGUGGUGUAAUGAAGGGGCAUACUGCAGCACUGUCAGCGCAGUACUAGCAGGAGGAGGCGGUCCUGCCAAUCCAGCCCCUCCUCUCACCUUUUCUUCCUCUCUCCACCGCUGUUGCCCAACGUCAUGAUCCCACAAAAACCAGAAGAGCGGACCUGCUGCUGCCGGCGCUGAAAGGAGGACCCGUUGCUACUGACACUGAUGAGAAGGGGGACCCGCCGCUGCCCGAGUACAACCCGUUCUCCUGUGCCUCCACAAUACUGAAGGGUAUGUCAUUCCGCCUUACAGAUCCACCCUGCGGUACUGAACAAGGGAUUUGUGUACGCACAAACUGCUUAAUGCAGCUGACUCCAUCAUUCAUUUAUUAUUUUUGAUACAAUUAAUAAAAUCUAUUGAGGAAUGCUGCACACUUU